rnacentral:lncRNA from 1 species
AAUGAAUCACACACUCAGUCACAGGGUCGCCGUGGAUGAAUGUGCUCUCUGUUUUCCUGGAGUCUGGAGUUUACUAACUGAUGACGCAGGCUGCACUUGAUCAGAGACAUGUGUUGCUGUGGACUCUGUGCCAGUGAGAAGCAAGGAAAGGGGGAGAGGUGGAAGGACGGAUGGCGCCUAAGCCCUCUCCCUCUCUCUUUCUCUCCCUCCUGGGCAUUGCCUCACACUGAUGCUUGUGAGAUUGGGGUGGAGGGUUGUCCCGUCCCACUCUGGGAAAAAUAAACCCAGCCUUUUAGGCCAGGACAGGAAACAAGGGAUCUUCAGUGAGCAUCUUGACCUAACUCCAUCAAUUCCUUUACCAUCCUCUUCUCCAAACACACUCAGGGAGAGGGAGAAGGGAGAAAGAUUGAGGUGGAAGGCAACCAAAGAAACAUGUGAUCCACGGGUGAGAGAGAAAGUGAUUUUGGGGAUUGAAAGGAGAAAGGACGUCGAGAAAAGUGGACAAAAAAGAACUACUGUAGAAAAAAGAUGGAGAAUUUCUGGAUGAAGAGGUGGACAUCUCCAGCCAAUCCAUGCCAGUGAUAUCGUUGCCUGAGCCACUGGAGAGUAUUUCCUUUUCCUAGGUGGCAACUUUGAGGAGGGUCGUGAUAUGCCUGUAUUCUCUUUUAGCAAUACAGGGAACUGCAGCACUGAUGUGUUGUGCAUUGAAGUCCACAAGCAAAGGGAAGAGAUGAGAGGAGAAAUGCAAGAAGGAAUACAACUUGGCUGCUAUGAAAGUGAACAGUGUUAAUGCAUGAUCAGUGGUGUAUUCAUUCCGCCGAUUCUGUUGAAAAAAGUUUCUUAAACGGAAGCAAACGGAACAAAACGGGUAAAACAUACCUGAAUUUGUCCAAUACAAACUCUCGUUUGCAACUGUUGUACCAAUGAUUACACCCUACAUCAACUAGAUGCAGGCAAGAUCGUGCAAGGCAGUAUUGAAUGUCACUAUCUGUCCAUGUGUCACUGUCCCCUCAAAUUUGUCUCUUGACCUGUGUUCACCUACAUUGUAAACUUUCAUUCAUAGGCUAGGUUGUAGCAACCUGAUGGGUAGAGGGAAAAUUAGAGUAUCAUGUACUAGCCUAAACUUAUUGCUGUUACAUUGAACUGGG